AUGAACGCUGGCGGCGUGCCUAACACAUGCAAGUCGAGCGAACAGACGAGGAGCUUGCUCCUCUGACGUUAGCGGCGGACGGGUGAGUAACACGUGGAUAACCUACCUAUAAGACUGGGAUAACUUCGGGAAACCGGAGCUAAUACCGGAUAAUAUAUUGAACCGCAUGGUUCAAUAGUGAAAGACGGUUUUGCUGUCACUUAUUGAUGGAUCCGCGCCGCAUUAGCUAGUUGGUAAGGUAACGGCUUACCAAGGCGACGAUGCGUAGCCGACCUGAGAGGGUGAUCGGCCACACUGGAACUGAGACACGGUCCAGACUCCUACGGGAGGCAGCAGUAGGGAAUCUUCCGCAAUGGGCGAAAGCCUGACGGAGCAACGCCGCGUGAGUGAUGAAGGUCUUCGGAUCGUAAAACUCUGUUAUUAGGGAAGAACAAAUGUGUAAGUAACUAUGCACGUCUUGACGGUACCUAAUCAGAAAGCCACGGCUAACUACGUG
rnacentral:rRNA from 1 species